rnacentral:pre_miRNA from 14 species
UAGAAAAUGAUCUAAAGCUCCUUCAGGAAGCUGGUUUCAUAUGGUGGUUUAGAUUUAACUACUUAUUGUCUAGCACCAUUUGAAAUCAGUGUUCUUGGAGGAAGAAUGGCUGCCCUGUUGUC